UUGAAAGUACCUUACUACUUGGAUACCCGUAGUAAUUCUAGAGCUAAUACAUGCAUCAACGCCCAAUCGGGCCGCGUUUAUUAGAUAGAAACCCAUAUUUUUGGUGAAUCAUAAUAACUGUGCGAAUCGCAUGGGUUUACCCCGGCGAUGAAUCAAUCAAGUUUCUGCCCUAUCAGCUUUCGAUGGUAGGGUAUUGGCCUACCAUGGCGUUAACGGGUAACGGAGAAUUAGGGUUCGAUUCCGGAGAGGGAGCCUGAGAAACGGCUACCACAUCCAAGGAAGGCAGCAGGCGCGUAAAUUACCCAAUCCUGACACAGGGAGGUAGUGACAAUAAAUAACAAUGCCGGGCUUUUUCAAGUCUGGCAAUUGGAAUGAGAACAAUUUAAAUCCCUUGACGAGGAUCAAUUGGAGGGCAAGUCUGGUGCCAGCAGCCGCGGUAAUUCCAGCUCCAAUAGCGUAUAUUAAUGUUGUUGCAGUUAAAAAGCUCGUAGUUGGAUUUCUGGUGGGAGUGGCCGGUCCGCCGUAAGGUGUGUACUUGGUUGUCUCCUGUCAUCCUUGUGGGAACUGCUCUGGCAUUAAGUUGUCGGGGUUGGGGAACACAUCGUUUACUGUGAAAAAAUUAGAGUGUUUAAAGCAGGCUUAUGCCGUUGAAUACAUUAGCAUGGAAUAAUAAGAUAGGACUUUGGCGUCUAUUUUGUUGGUUUGCACACCAAAGUAAUGAUUAAUAGGGAUAGUUGGGGGUAUUCGUAUUUAAUUGUCAGAGGUGAAAUUCUUGGAUUUAUGAAAGACGAACUUCUGCGAAAGCAUUUACCAAAGAUGUUUUCAUUAAUCAAGAACGAAAGUUAGGGGAUCGAAGAUGAUUAGAUACCAUCGUAGUCUUAACCAUAAACUAUGCCGACUAGGGAUUGGCGGUCGUUCAUUUAUGACUCCGUCAGCACCUUAUGAGAAAUCAAAGUCUUUGGGUUCCGGGG
rnacentral:rRNA from 1 species